rnacentral:rRNA from 1 species
UACGGGGGGAGCAAGCGUUGUUCGGAUUUACUGGGCGUAAAGGGCGCGUAGGCGGUCAGCACAAGUCAGUUGUGAAAUCUCCGGGCUUAACUCGGAAAGGUCAACUGAUACUGUGCGACUAGAGUGCAGAAGGGGCAACUGGAAUUCUCGGUGUAGCGGUGAAAUGCGUAGAUAUCUGGAGGAACACCGGUGGCGAAGGCGGCAUCCUGGACCGGUAUUGACGCUGAGGCGCGAAAGCCAGGGGAGCAAACGGG